UACGUAGGGUGCGAGCGUUUGUCCGGAAUUAUUGGGCGUAAAGAGCUUGUAGGCGGUUUGUCGCGUCUGCUGUGAAAAUCCGGGGCUCAACCCCGGACUUGCAGUGGGUACGGGCAGACUGGAGUGUGGUAGGGGAGACUGGAAUUCCUGGUGUAGCGGUGAAAUGCGCAGAUAUCAGGAGGAACACCGAUGGCGAAGGCAGGUCUCUGGGCCACUACUGACGCUGAGAAGCGAAAGCAUGGGGAGCGAACAGG
rnacentral:rRNA from 1 species